UUUAUGGAGAGUUUGAUCCUGGCUCAGAGUGAACGCUGGCGGCGUGCCUAAUACAUGCAAGUCGAACGAUGAAGCUUCUAGCUUGCUAGAAUGCUGAUUAGUGGCGCACGGGUGAGUAACGCAUAGGUCAUGUGCCUCUUAGUUUGGGAUAGCCAUUGGAAACGAUGAUUAAUACCAGAUACUCCCUACGGGGGAAAGAUUUAUCGCUAAGAGAUCAGCCUAUGUCCUAUCAGCUUGUUGGUAAGGUAAUGGCUUACCAAGGCUAUGACGGGUAUCCGGCCUGAGAGGGUGAACGGACACACUGGAACUGAGACACGGUCCAGACUCCUACGGGAGGCAGCAGUAGGGAAUAUUGCUCAAUGGGGGAAACCCUGAAGCAGCAACGCUGCGUGGAGGAUGAAGGUUUUAGGAUUGUAAACUCCUUUUGUUAGAGAAGAUAAUGACGGUAUCUAACGAAUAAGCACCGGCUAACUCCGUGCCAGCAGCCGCGGUAAUACGGAGGGUGCAAGCGUUACUCGGAAUCACUGGGCGUAAAGAGCGCGUAGGCGGGAUAGUCAGUCAGGUGUGAAAUCCUAUGGCUUAACCAUAGAACUGCAUUUGAAACUACUAUUCUAGAGUGUGGGAGAGGUAGGUGGAAUUCUUGGUGUAGGGGUAAAAUCCGUAGAGAUCAAGAGGAAUACUCAUUGCGAAGGCGACCUGCUGGAACAUUACUGACGCUGAUUGCGCGAAAGCGUGGGGAGCAAACAGGAUUAGAUACCCUGGUAGUCCACGCCCUAAACGAUGGAUGCUAGUUGUUGGAGGGCUUAGUCUCUCCAGUAAUGCAGCUAACGCAUUAAGCAUCCCGCCUGGGGAGUACGGUCGCAAGAUUAAAACUCAAAGGAAUAGACGGGGACCCGCACAAGCGGUGGAGCAUGUGGUUUAAUUCGAAGAUACACGAAGAACCUUACCUAGGCUUGACAUUGAGAGAAUCCGCUAGAAAUAGUGGAGUGUCUGGCUUGCCAGACCUUGAAAACAGGUGCUGCACGGCUGUCGUCAGCUCGUGUCGUGAGAUGUUGGGUUAAGUCCCGCAACGAGCGCAACCCCCUUUCUUAGUUGCUAACAGGUCAUGCUGAGAACUCUAAGGAUACUGCCUCCGUAAGGAGGAGGAAGGUGGGGACGACGUCAAGUCAUCAUGGCCCUUACGCCUAGGGCUACACACGUGCUACAAUGGGGUGCACAAAGAGAAGCAAUACUGCGAAGUGGAGCCAAUCUUCAAAACACCUCUCAGUUCGGAUUGUAGGCUGCAACUCGCCUGCAUGAAGCUGGAAUCGCUAGUAAUCGCAAAUCAGCCAUGUUGCGGUGAAUACGUUCCCGGGUCUUGUACUCACCGCCCGUCACACCAUGGGAGUUGUGUUUGCCUUAAGUCAGGAUGCUAAAUUGGCUACUGCCCACGGCACACACAGCGACUGGGGUGAAGUCGUAACAAGGUAACCGUAGGUGAACCUGCGGUUGGAUCACCUCCUUUCUA
rnacentral:rRNA from 1 species